AAUUAUUAAAAAUAUUAAAAUUGUAAACAUACAUCACAUAAAAACAAAACAAACAUAUUAAAUGAAAAACUUGAAUGACGACUAGAAUUAAGCUUGAUUCUGACCAAAUUUUUGCCAUAUAUGUUCAACCAAAUCAGCUUUUAAGUGUUCAUGCUUAGUCCGAUCACGAAGUCGGGUUCGAGUGACCAUCAUAUUACCAAGAUUUGAAGGCAUGUCUGUAGAAUAUAUGAAAACUACUUGUGAAGAACUAGCUGAUUCAGGAUGUGCGAAAUCGGAUACAUCAUACUGAGAAAACAUGAGAUGAAGAAGAUGAUCCAUUGAGGUUGAUCUUCGGAAAAAACAAGAAAAGAGAGAGGAGAGAAAGAACAUUGAAUGAAAGAAAAAAAUCACCAAGAAAGAAAAAAGCAACUUGUUUUGUUUAUUAUGUCACCCAAUUAAAUUAUGCCACGUCAUCGCACCUUAUACACCCAAAAACACCUAAAGCAAAGUGCGAACCUUGCUUAAUAUCACCAUUCUGAAUUAAUUUUUGAUCUUUUUUCUUUAGGUUUCUUCUAAAAAACUCACAAAGUGCUUCCAAUAGACCUGCUCUUAGUAUCUUUUAAAAUAUUUGCUACAGUGAAUAUGUUAUAUAAUAGUGUUUUGAAAUAUUACAUAUUAAGAAUUUAAAUUUGUACAAAAAUUUUAUAUUGAAGUAUUUUGUCAAAAAGUUUUCAUAUAAAUUUAUACUUUUUAUGAUCAUAGAUGGAUACAAACAC
rnacentral:sRNA from 1 species